rnacentral:sRNA from 1 species
GUGUGUUUUGAGCCCAGGGAUUAAAGGAGUUUAGUAGGUUUUCAAACCUGGAAGUGGACUUAGACCUUUCACCCUUUCUCAGCACCUUGGCCACACCAGUCAAAAGGAAGACUGGGACAUACAGGUUUACCUCAGAGCCUCAUGCCCGUGCUUUAAUGGCUCAAUGUCGAAGAGGAGGAGAAAGUGGACUGAAGAUAAACUGUAGCCUCUCCUGUGUUGAGCACGGACAGACGGCCCUGGGGGAGCGCAGGAAGAGACUCCUGGAAAGGCUUGACUGGAAAAUUGAUUCCCAUCAGCAAGCAUCCCUUCACCACCCAGGUUUCUCAACUGCACCUAAAUUGCAAGCGAUUCAAAGCGAGUACAAAGGGGCCGUUGCUGCUGCCAAAUUGGCUUAUCCUUGGGAAAUAUGCAGAGAAGUGUUGGAGAGUUUUAGAACAUCCGUACUGAGUGAUCAGUUCGUAAACUUUCAAGUAGCCAUCAUUUGUUACAUUUAGACAUUAACUUUCAAGCGCCAUUUUUCAUCCGGAAUCAAAGAGGAUCACAACGUACUCCACUGUGGGCAGCUAGAGUCAUGAAGACAGUGAGCCAUAUUGGAUUUGGG